CACUGCAAGACAAGUAGUCGCGAGAGGUGGAUGGACACCACACUAAAGGCGAGAAGAGGUAGCUUGCCUCUGGCUCCUACCAAAAGGGUGGCUUGGCCCUGUGAUCGUGGAGAGAAGGAUGAGAUCUUGGAAUUAUAUAAGCUGCAGAGAAUGCUGCAAGGCCAGCUAUGGAUGGUUGGAGAAUCGAGCACGAAAGUCUGUGAUAACGUUGUGCUGGGCUAGUGACAAACCACAUGUUGGGGCGUACAGUGGUGAAAAUGAUUUCUCUCCUGUAUGUUUACUAUCUUUUGCUUGAGGUGCUUGCUUGCUCGCGCUGCUUGCUUGCAUUGAAUGAUCUGGAAGACAAAAAUAUAAAGACUUUUUUAUCGAA